rnacentral:rRNA from 1 species
GGCGGCGUGCCUAAUACAUGCAAGUCGAGCGCAGGAAACAAGUAGAUCCCUUCGGGGUGACGCUUGUGGAAUGAGCGGCGGACGGGUGAGUAACACGUGGGCAACCUACCUUGUAGACUGGGAUAACUCCGGGAAACCGGAGCUAAUACGGGAUGAUCAUUUGAAUCACAUGAUUGAAAUGUAAAAGUGGGGAGUAAUCCUCACACUAUGAGAUGGGCCCGCGGCGCAUUAGCUAGUUGGUAAGGUAAUGGCUUACCAAGGCAACGAUGCGUAGCCGACCUGAGAGGGUGAUCGGCCACACUGGAACUGAGACACGGUCCAGACUCCUACGGGAGGCAGCAGUAGGGAAUCAUCCGCAAUGGGCGAAAGCCUGACGGUGCAACGCCGCGUGAACGAUGAAGGUUUUCGGAUCGUAAAGUUCUGUUAUGAGGGAAGAACAAGUGCCGUUCGAAUAGGGCGGCACCUUGACGGUACCUCACGAGAAAGCCCCGGCUAACUACGUG